rnacentral:rRNA from 1 species
CCAAUAGCGUAUAUUAAAGUUGUUGCAGUUAAAAAGCUCGUAGUUGAAUUUCGAGACCGGUCUACUGGUCGUGCUUUUGUACGUACUGGUUUUAUUGGUUUCUCCUUUCUGACGAACUAUAAUGCCAUUAAUUUGGUGUUAUGGGGAAUCAGGACUGUUACUUUGAAAAAAUUAGAGUGUUUAAAGCAGGCUCACGCUUGAAUACAUUAGCCUGGAAUAACGAAAUAGGACGUUUGAUUUUAUUUUGUUGGUUUCUAGGAUCGACGUAAUGAUUAAUAGUGAUAGUUGGGGGCGUUAGUAUUCAAUUGUCAGAGGUGAAAUUCUUGGAUUUAUUGAAGACUAACUACUGCGAAAGCAUUUGCCAAGGAUGUUUUCAUUAAUCAAGAACGAAAGUUAGGGGAUCGAAGACGAUCAGAUACCGUCGUAGUCUUAACCAUAAACUAUGCCGACUAGGGAUCGGAUGAUGUUAAUUUUUUAAUGACUCAUUCGGCGCCUUACG